AGUGGGGAAUUUUGGACAAUGGGCGAAAGCCUGAUCCAGCAAUGCCGCGUGAGUGAAGAAGGCCUUCGGGUUGUAAAGCUCUUUCAGUCGAGAAGAAAAGGUUAUGACUAAUAAUCGUAAUCAAUGACGGUAUCGACAGAAGAAGCACCGGCUAACUACGUGCCAGCAGCCGCGGUAAUACGUAGGGUGCGAGCGUUAAUCGGAAUUACUGGGCGUAAAGGGUGCGCAGGCGGUUUUGUAAGUCAGAUGUGAAAUCCCCGGGCUUAACCUGGGAAUUGCGUUUGAAACUACAAAACUAGAGUGUGGCAGAGGGAGGUGGAAUUCCAUGUGUAGCAGUGAAAUGCGUAGAGAUAUGGAAGAACAUCGAUGGCGAAGGCAGCCUCCUGGGUUAACACUGACGCUCAUGCACGAAAGCGUGGGGAGCAAA
rnacentral:rRNA from 1 species